rnacentral:rRNA from 1 species
AUUGAACGCUGGCGGCAUGCCUUACACAUGCAAGUCGAACGGCAGCACGGGAUCAAUCCUGGUGGCGAGUGGCGAACGGUUGAGUAAUACAUCGGAACGUGCCCAAUCGUGGGGGAUAACGCAGCGAAAGCUGUGCUAAUACCGCAUACGAUCUACGGAUGAAAGCAGGGGACCGCAAGGCCUUGCGCGAAUUGAGCGGCCGAUGGCAGAUUAGGUAGUUGGUGGGGUAAAGGCUCACCAAGCCAACGAUCCGUAGCUGGUCUGAGAGGACGACCAGACACACUGGGACUGAGACACGGCCCAGACUCCUACGGGGGGAAGCAGUGGGGAAUUUUGGACAAUGGGCGCAAGCCUGAUCCAGCCAUGCCGCGUGCAGGAUGAAGGCCUUCGGGUUGUAAACUGCUUUUGUACGGAACGAAACGGCCUUUUCUAAUAAAGAGGGCUAAUGACGGUACCGGAAGAAUAAGCACCGGCUAACUACGUG